UGCGUAACGCGUGGGAAUCUGCCCUUGGGUUCGGAAUAACAGUGAGAAAUUACUGCUAAUACCGGAUGAUGUCUUCGGACCAAAGAUUUAUCGCCCAAGGAUGAGCCCGCGUAAGAUUAGCUAGUUGGUGAGGUAAAGGCUCACCAAGGCGACGAUCUUUAGCUGGUCUGAGAGGAUGAUCAGCCACACUGGGACUGAGACACGGCCCAGACUCCUACGGGAGGCAGCAGUGGGGAAUAUUGGACAAUGGGCGAAAGCCUGAUCCAGCAAUGCCGCGUGAGUGAUGAAGGCCUUAGGGUUGUAAAGCUCUUUUACCAGGGAUGAUAAUGACAGUACCUGGAGAAUAAGCUCCGUAACUCCGUGCCAGCAGCCGCGGUAAUACGGAGGGAGCUAGCGUUGUUCGGAAUUACUGGGCGUAAAGCGCACGUAGGCGGCUAUUCAAGUCAGAGGUGAAAGCCCGGGGCUCAACCCCGGAACUGCCUUUGAAACUAGAUAGCUUGAAUCUUGGAGAGGCGAGUGGAAUUCCGAGUGUAGAGGUGAAAUUCGUAGAUAUUCGGAAGAACACCAGUGGCGAAGGCGACUCGCUGGACAAGUAUUGACGCUGAGGUGCGAAAGCGUGGGGAGCAAACAG
rnacentral:rRNA from 1 species